rnacentral:tRNA from 1 species
CGGGCUGUGGCGCAGUUUGGCUAGCGCGCAUGACUGGGGGUCAUGAGGUCGCAGGUUCAAGUCCUGUCAGCCCGACCA